GGGGUUGUACUGGUUUCGACGGGGGUUUCGAAGCUGAGGAAGCCAUCCGCAGUCCGGGACUGCGUCACCAAUCCGGAAUUUAAAUAUAAACGCAGACGAUAAUAGUUUUGCACUCGCUGCCUAAGCGCAGCGGAUCGGCUCUUUGAUUCCCGCGUCAUAGAUGUCCGGUCUCAAACCCUGUGGGGAACUUUUUUGCCAAAGCUUUGAGGCAUAAAAAGACUUUAUGAAGCUACUGAACGGAAAAGCUUGUUCCUGAACUUUUCCGGGAGGGAAUGUCGAUCAGGAACUGUGAUGGGAGAUGCCUUAGUGAACAGGCUUUCGGACGCGGGUUCGAUUCCCGCCAGCUCCAU
rnacentral:sRNA from 1 species